rnacentral:rRNA from 1 species
GGAUGAACGCUAGCGGCAGGCCUAAUACAUGCAAGUCGUACGGCAACACAGUUGCGAGCAAUCGCGAACCGGUGGCGAGUGGCGCGACGGGUGAGUAACGCGUAUGUAACCUACCCUUCUCCGGGACAUAACUCCGCGAAAGCGGUGCUAAUAUCCCAUACCAACUCAUCAAGACAUCUUCUUGAGUUGAAAGCAGCAAUGCGGUGAAGGAUGGGCAUGCGUCCCAUUAGCUGGUUGGUGAGGUAAUGGCCCACCAAGGCUACGAUGGGUAGGGGUUCUGAGAGGAAAGCCCCCCACACUGGUACUGAGACACGGACCAGACUCCUACGGGAGGCAGCAGUAAGGAAUAUUGGGCAAUGGUCGAAAGACUGACCCAGCCAUGCCGCGUGCAGGAUGAAGGCCCUAUGGGUUGUAAACUGCUUUUAGCCGGGAAUAAACACCCGUUUUAUAACGGGCCCGAAGGUACCGGCUGAAUAAGCAUCGGCUAACUCCGUG